CGCCGCCGCCUCCCGUGCCCUCCCUCAGAGGGGCCGCGCCCCCCGAGGGCCUGCGGGUCCGGCACACCCCCGCGGACCCCACGGGCCUGGGGGCACCUUCUUGCCCCGGGGCCGGGCACCGAGGGGGAGGAAGAUGCCGGGUAGCGGCAGGGAAGGGGUGCCGGCGGUGCUGUAGCUGACCGAGAUGCUUCGGGGUGCAGGAGGUUGGCUUGUGGCGCUCAGUUGGGCUGGGGAGCGGUCCCGCUGAAGAGAUGACCCCUUGGGACACCCUGCCCGUGCUGUUGGCCCAACGGGGAGGCUGCAGAAGCUCUCUGCAGCACAGAGCAGCACAGUCCGACACGGAGCUGCACCCGGUCUGCUGCCAGCGGCAUCUUGUGGAACCACUACACUAAUCCUAAGGAUCCAGGUUUAUGUUAAGCAAUAUUUGCAUCACACCCUUCAUCCCAUCUACUAUUUGAGUGAGCUGAGCUUCUCAUAUAGCACGUGAAGAGAAUAAAUUUGUGGUUCGUGGUUUAAGGGCAUGGCUUUAUAGGUAACUGCGCCAAUGAGGAUAACUUGGGAAAGAUGGGUUUUCAGAUGUUCACCCCCUUCUGUGGGGCCUCUCCAUGUACAUCUCUAAGGAUCCCUGGGGAUCAACAUUGACUUUCAAGUUUGUUAGACAAGGGAAUGCCAGAUGGCCAAGGGCGAGAGGAAAGUCACAGGUACUUUGUGUUUAGAAACAGAACUGCUUUCAGCAGCACAGGAAUACUGAAUACCUUAUUGAAUGCUUCGUGAGUUUAGAAAAGUUAUAUAGACAAAAUACGACCUCUGCUUCCUCCUUCAUUUGUGCAUCAAUGUGAUCUAUCAGAGCAAUGCUGCAUGGGCUCAGAGGGGUUUGCGGAUCACAGGGACUUGGCAUUCCUGACCUGCUUAACACAUAGCAUCCAUAUACUCUGUUUUGGAUGUGAAUGGGUGAAAGCAUUAAUGUGGGAGAAUCCAAGUGAAAAACUGAGGGUGAUGUCUGGUAGGGAGCACACCAUGGGUGCUGUCAGGAUAUAGGAGACACACAGAAUGCAUGGAUUAGUCAUGUACUUUGGAAAUAAUACUACAUAGACACACAGGAGUUCUACUCUGGGAUCUUGAUUUCCGUCUGGGAGGCUGCAGCUCUGAGCUCAGUGUUUGCAGAGAGUGUUUACUAUUUAGUGUUUAUGUGACUGGUUCUAACAGACGACACCUGCAACUGUUGACAUCUUUUCAGUCUUUGAGAUAAGGAUAUUUUCUUACAGCUGCUAUUCAUCCCUUGCCCUAAGUCCAGCUGUACACAGUGCUUUCUAUACAUGUGAUGCUCUGCUACAAAUGCAAGGCCUGAAGCUUCUCAUGGCAGCAGAAAGAGUUGCUGCUGAAGUAUUUUAUCUGCAAUAGAGGUAGCUGUUGUAAAAUGGCAGAGCUGUGGGGUUUGUGUCUGGUACAUGUCUGGUGAAGUCUAUAGGCUUGUGAGUACAACAAACUCCAGCUGAACAGUUUGCUCAUCAGCAGACCUGAACGGGGAAGUCAACAGGCAAGUUUGUGAGAUGUGCUGUUAUAUUUGAUCACUUUCUGAAGAUUUUCAAGUGGAGCAGCCAAGGCCAGAGAUGGACCUUCUUGGAUGCCAUCUCCUAACUUGUAUGCCAUGGAAGUCAGCACCUCCCCAUUGCAGAUCCAUGCUGGUGGUGUAGUGGAGAGGGAUUAGGCAAAGACUGUACUUUUGCAAAUUCCAAAUAUAAAUCUACCACGAGGCUUAAAAAUGUGCUCCCUGAGUGGAUAAGCUAGGUUAAUAGUGUGCUGAAAGAAAGGAGGGAGGUUAAUAUCCAACAUUUAUUGGCAGUGAGGCUGCUGGCUGACUUACUACUGACAAAACCAGGCAGGGAUGAAAGAGCAGCAUACCCCACUCAAACAUAUAUAAUAUCUUCAUUGCAUGUGAAGAGAUGUGCUUGGUUAAGCAUGAUGCCUCACCUGCAGAUGCAUCUUGUCUCGUAGGAAAGGAAACUGUCUGCUAGUUUUGGGUGAUCACAACGUGCAAGGGAAGAAACUCGGAGAAGUGAGUUGGUUGCAUACUAUUUUUGGCUGAGGGGUCAGGCAGUAACAGAGAUCAAACAUUCUACUGAAUACCCCAACACUGCCAGCUACCAACAAAAAAGCUAGAAUAUCCUCCUUCCUUUCUGUAACAGAGUUAUACUAAUACAAAUUGUGAAUAGAAAAUAACAGAUUUUCAGUCUUGGGCUGUUAAGUGUUUGGAGGUAUCUUUUUUGUUACCUGUGCACACAAGUUCAAGACAUUAUCACAUUAUAGCUACAUAUUUUAAAAAAAAUUAUCAGGAAGCAUGGUUUAGAAUUGUAGUCAGCUCAUUACUGAGCCAUUAGGAAACUGGUUCCAGCAGCAGAACUAUUAAUGAGCUGGUUUCAAGUAGUGUGUGUGCAUUGUGAUUACUCGGCGCUCUGCCUCAGUUUAAUUAAGAUUUUAAAUUUACAUUGUGCCAUUCAACUGUGUGUUGCACUAGUGUUUAUAAAAAUGAAUAGAUUUAAUUGUCCUCAUUUUAUAGGUCAGGCCACGGUGUCAUUUAAGGGUCAAGGGACAAGACUGAAGCCACCCAUCCCCUGAAGCAAUAUGGAUCUGUUGCUCAACCUGCAGGGUGGCAUUUCUUCCGAAUGACUGAGAAAAUGAUUGCGUGGACGUUUACAGACGCUGAACAAAACAAUUACAAUAAUAUUAUUUAGUAGACCUACAGUACCUGGUUUGAUGUAUUUGUUGAGAUUUGCAGAGAUCACAAAAAAAGCUUCCUAUCUGUAGAAGUGCAGUGGCCAAUUAAAAAUUUACCUUUGACAGGAAAAUGAUCAAAGUAAUUGAAGUGGUUUCUCACAGCUUUAAAGAAAAAAGAAAGAUAAUCACAUAAUAAGAAACACUAUUGUUCCUUCUGUCACACUGGCUUCAUAUUAUCAGCAAUUAUUUGAUGUUCUAAUCUUGCAAGCCUUAUGUAUAUGAGCAGUCAUGAGUAGCAUGAGCAAAGUUUGCUGAAACAAAUGAGCCUGGAAAGGUCAGAUCCCUGCCUUGAAUAAAUAGGUACAAAUGACAAUAUUGCUGUUUAAUCUCCUAGGUGUGGUGUGCUGCAUAAAAGUGCAGCAACUCUUGUGACAUUUCGGGUUUUUACUAAAUUUUAAAUAAAAUGUCCUUCUUGCUGUUUC